GACAGAGGAGGCAAGCGUUGUUCGGACUCAUGGGGCUUAAAGCGCGCGUCGGCGGCCUUGUAAGUGUCUUGUGAAAUCCCACGGCUCACCCGUGGAACUGCAGGGCAAACUGCAAGACUUGAGGUCGGUAGAGGCGCCUGGAACUCUAGGUGGAGCGGUGAAAUGCGUAGAUAUCUAGGGGAACGCCGGAGGCGAAAGCGGGGCGCUGGGCCGAUUCUGACGCUGAUGCGCGAAAGCGUGGGGAGCAAACAGG
rnacentral:rRNA from 1 species